rnacentral:lncRNA from 10 species
AAUGAGGAAAUUCCCUUUUAGAAUCUUAACUACCUAUCUGUGUAAUCAUGUAAUAACAGUUAUCUACUACAAAGUGGGGAGUUUCUGUUUAUCUCUCCAUUUUUUCUUUAGUAGUAGCAACUAUAUAUUAGGAUUUGCAGAUUUGUUUUAUAUUUCAGAAUAAGUUAUUUUUCUUUUUCAGCUGGCUGCAAUAAAACUUGGCCGAUAUGGUGAAGACCUUCUCUUCUAUCUCUAUUACAUGAAUGGAGGAGACGUAUUACAACUUUUAGCUGCAGUGGAGCUUUUUAACCGUGAUUGGAGAUACCACAAAGAAGAACGAGUAUGGAUUACCAGGGCACCAGGCAUGGAGCCAACAAUGAAAACCAAUACCUAUGAGAGGGGAACAUAUUACUUCUUUGACUGUCUUAACUGGAGGAAAGUAGCUAAGGAGUUCCAUCUGGAAUAUGACAAAUUAGAAGAACGGCCUCACCUGCCAUCCACCUUCAACUACAACCCUGCUCAGCAAGCCUUCUAAAAAAAAAA